rnacentral:rRNA from 1 species
ACAUGCCUACAACAUAGCGUUAAUGCAUUGGAUCCCAUUAGAACUCCACAGUUAAGCAUGCUUAGGCUAGAGUAGUACUAAGAUGGGUGACCACCCGGGAAGUCCUACUAUUUUACAUGCC